rnacentral:lncRNA from 1 species
CGAAUCAAAGAUCUGCAGCGGAGUGUACGGCCUUCUACUCCGUAUCUAGGACAUGUCCGCGCCCGGGUUCCUUCAACGUAAUUACUUGUUCGAACCCAGCUGCUUCAUUAAGCAGCGCCCAAGUUGCUUCACUACAAGCAAUGGCUCCGGCUCCCUCACCCGUCACCUACAAAGCCCUUGAGCCUCCCCGAUGAUCCACUGGCUUACGAGUCGAACUAUGUUGGUGAGCUCAUGCUAGAAUAAGGUCUUAUCUACCUGUACGUGUUUGCUUCUCUUAAUUUACUCCGCUCCUUGUUUGGCCAAUCCACUUUUUUUUUUCAUUUUUUU